GUGCAGGGUUUGUUUAUUCGAGCGGGCCCGUGUUUGCACGGAGGCCUCUCGGCAUCCCUGGCAUGGACGGUUCGAGUCCCGGAGGUCCUCGGUUCGAGUCCCGCGGACGGAAGGCGUUUGGGCUGGGCGAGGACCGUGCCCAGGAGGCCUGGUGGGGCUUGAGCCAGGAUUUCUGCCUGGAAGGAGCCUGUCCUGAGGUGGGAUUCGGAUCUUAUCCCCAGGAAGAAGCAACAGGUCAAGAGAAAAUGGCCUGAAGGUGCAGCAGGAGAGGCUCCGGGUGGAUACUGGGGAAAUUCCUUCACAGAAAGGGCUGUCCAGCCCUGGCACAGCUGCCCAGGGCAGGGGUGGGGUCCCCAUCCCUGGAGGGGUUUCAGAGCUGUGUGGAUGUGGCACUUGGGGACACGGGGCAGUGGUGGCCUUGGCCGUGCUGGGGGGAUGGUUGGACUCAUUGGUUUUAUGGAUCUUUUCCAACCUAGAUGAUUCUG